GUGGCAAGCGUUGUCCGGAUUUAUUGGGCGUAAAGCGAGUGCAGGCGGUUCAAUUAAACUGAUUGGAAAACCUUCGGCACAACCGGAGGAUUGCAUCAGAAACUGUUGAACUUGAGUGCAGAAGAGGAGAGUGGAACUCCAUGUGUAGCGGUGGAAUGCGUAGAUAUAUGGAAGAACACCAGUGGCGAAGGCGGCUCUCUGGUCUGCAACUGACGCUGAGGCUCGAAAGCAUGGGUAGCGAAC
rnacentral:rRNA from 1 species